AACGCAAGCCUGUGACAAUAAGCGGAGGAGAAAGAGACCCGGACCGGGCGAGCCGUGCGUCACGAGAAGUCCACUGAACCUUGGAUCAUUGUCGAGAACCGACCGAUAGACCGCGAACCCGUAAACGGAUGACACCGUGUCGGGCGGGCACUAUGCCCGCCCUGCCCGGGACCUCGCAUCGUGCCUCUCCGGGCACGAUUUGCGGGGGACGGACGAAACCCCGGCGCGGCCUGCGCCAAGGAACAUAUGACAGGACGGACGCACGUCAACGCCUCUGCGGCGGGGCGACGUUCGCUCUCUAUCCAUACGACUUCAUUUAGAGGAAGGAGAAGUCGUAACAAGGUUUCGCCAAGGGGCUCCGUACGAGGAGGGCGUGCCGCUCGGCAACGGAUAUCUCGGCUCUCGCAUCGAUGAAGAACGUAGCGAAAUGCGAUACUUGGUGUGAAUUGCAGAAUCCCGUGAACCAUCGAGUCUUUGAGCGGAAGCGAGCGGUUCUUUCGCUCCGUGCCCAAUGACCCUUCGGGUGCGGUCACGGAUGCGGAGAUUGGCCCCCCGUGCCUCGUGUGCGGCGGGCUUAAGCGCGGGCUGUCGGCGUCGGGAUGGGCACGACGAGUGGUGGACGGAGCACCAGCAGGAUGUUGUGGCCCCCCGUCGCCUUGUUGCGCCCGAGGCCUCGUAGGUGAACCUUCUCGCAAUGCGACCCCAGGUCAGGCGGGGACACCCGCUGAGUUUAAGCAUAUCUCA
rnacentral:rRNA from 1 species